rnacentral:rRNA from 1 species
AGCGAACGCUGGCGGCAGGCCUAACACAUGCAAGUCGAACGAACCUUCGGGUUAGUGGCGGACGGGUGAGUAACACGUGGGAACGUACCUUUUGGUUCGGAAUAACGCAGAGAAAUUUGCGCUAAUACCGAAUGUGCCCUUCGGGGGAAAGAUUUAUCGCCAUUAGAGCGGCCCGCGUUAGAUUAGCUAGUUGGUGAGGUAAAGGCUCACCAAGGCUACGAUCUAUAGCUGGUCUGAGAGGAUGAUCAGCCACAUUGGGACUGAGA